UACGUAGGGUGCGAGCGUUGUCCGGAAUUAUUGGGCGUAAAGAGCUCGUAGGCGGUUUGUUGCGUCGGCCGUGAAAACCUGCAGCUUAACUGUGGGCCUGCGGCCGAUACGGGCAGACUUGAGUUCGGUAGGGGAGACUGGAAUUCCUGGUGUAGCGGUGAAAUGCGCAGAUAUCAGGAGGAACACCGGUGGCGAAGGCGGGAUCCUGGGCCAGUACUGACGCUGAGGAGCGAAAGCGUGGGGAGCAAACAGG
rnacentral:rRNA from 1 species